CCCAGAGCUGCAGGACCGUGCAGGACCAGCACCCAGAGCUGCAGGGCCAUGCAGGGUCAGCACCCAGAGCCACAGGGCUCUGCAGGACCAGCACCCAGAGCUGCAGGACCAGCACCCAGAGCCACGGGGCUCUGCAGGACCAGCACCCAGAGCUGCAGGACCAGCACCCAGAGCCACGGGGCUCUGCAGGACCAGCACCCAGAGCUGCAGGGCCAUGCAGGACCAGCACCCAGAGCCACGGGGCUCUGCAGGGUCAGCACCCAGA